rnacentral:lncRNA from 1 species
UGCAAGAUCGCGGUGCUGCAGCACAACCUCGUCCAGUCCAGUCGGCGGUCCAUGUCGCCGCACCUCCGCAUGUGCUCUGGCGGUUGUCAGCGACUGACAAUCGUACACACCCGUCGUGCUGUCGCCGCCGUUCGUCGAGUCGCCAUGGAAGGCCACGGAUAGUAGGAUCCUUCGACUGCAUGAACCGAAGCACGAACAUCACGCACAGGCACAGACAGCCAAAUCGCAGGCGACACACCGCGAACUCCUCUAGGCCGGGCAGCGCCGCAAUCACAUGUGAGUUGUGCCGACGCCCACCAGAACGGGCCACGUGCACCACUGCGACACACUAUGUGAGCCCAUCCAUGGCCUUGUGCUCCCGCCACAGUGUCGCCCAUGCGGCCGUGCCCCGCGCUGGUCGUCACCCUAGCUGGGGAGCGCGAGCUCUGAUGCCACGCCGCGCGCCACCGGGAGCUCACCAACCGCUGUCCGCCAGCGCCACCACUUCAGACCACACAGGCCGGAGGCCUCCCGCAACUGCAACCUCCAUUCGUUGUUGCGCCUGCAGCUAGCGACGUGCCUCCUGCCCCAGAUCGACGCCCAGGCAUAGAAGAAGACGCACACAAUAUAAAGAAGGGAAGAGGGCCUCGCCGGUGAAACUCACCUCGCAAAGACCUCCGCUCCGAAGGCCUCCCCGAGAAGACAGGCAAGAAUGUGAGACCGGAACACCUUUCGAAGGUACACGCCGGUCCGGCAGAACACCGGAAGCAGUAGCACGGCCCGAACCACCGCGCCGGCCAACUACAGCCCACCGCUAGCGAGGAGGCC